AGAGUUUGAUCCUGGCUCAGGAUGAACGCUAGCUACAGGCUUAACACAUGCAAGUCGAGGGGCAGCAUAACGAAAGCUUGCUUUUGUUGAUGGCGACCGGCGCACGGGUGAGUAACGCGUAUCCAACCUUCCCUAUACUAGAGGAUAGCCCGGCGAAAGUCGGAUUAAUACUCUAUGUUCUUCGUAGAAGACAUCUGAAAUGAAGCAAAGGUUUACCGGUAUAGGAUGGGGAUGCGUCUGAUUAGGUUGUUGGCGGGGUAACGGCCCACCAAGCCCACGAUCAGUAGGGGUUCUGAGAGGAAGGUCCCCCACAUUGGAACUGAGACACGGUCCAAACUCCUACGGGAGGCAGCAGUGAGGAAUAUUGGUCAAUGGACGAGAGUCUGAACCAGCCAAGUAGCGUGCAGGAUGACGGCCCUAUGGGUUGUAAACUGCUUUUAUACAGGGAUAAAGUUCACUACGUGUAGUGUUUUGUAGGUACUGUAUGAAUAAGGACCGGCUAAUUCCGUGCCAGCAGCCGCGGUAAU
rnacentral:rRNA from 1 species